GAUGAACGCUGGCGGCGUGCCUAAUACAUGCAAGUCGAGCGAACAGAUGAUGAGCUUGCUCCUCUGACGUUAGCGGCGGACGGGUGAGUAACACGUGGAUAACCUACCUAUAAGUCUGGGAUAACUUCGGGAAACCGGAUCUAAUACGGUAUAAUAUCUUGAACCGCAUGGUGCGAUAGUGAAAGACGGUUUUGCUGUCACUUCUAGAUGGAUCUGCGCCGCAUUAUCUAGUUGUUGCGGUAACGGGUUACCAAGGGAACGAUGCGUAGACGACCGAAGAGGGGGAUCGGCCACACUGGAACUGGAACACCGUCCAGAGUCCUACGAGAGGCAGCAGUAGGGAAUCUUGCGCAAUGGGCGAAAGCCUGGCGGAGCGACGCCGAGUGAGUGAUGAAGGUCUUCGGAUCGUAAAACUCUGUUAUGAGGUAAGAACCAAUGUGUAAGUAACUGUGGACUUCUUGACGGUACCUAAUCAGAAAGCCCCGGCUAACUACGUG
rnacentral:rRNA from 1 species